UACCUCAACGCCAACACACGCGCACGCCAGAUCACGCCCGACCGCGCCUAUCGCGAUCCGUCCUAUCCGCAAGAUCAGGCUUACUACGGCCCCAGUGAUGCGGGACCGAUGCAGCGCCGCAUCUACCAGCAGCGCGGCUAUCCGCAGGGUUACGCACAACAGGGCUAUUACGAACAGGACGCACGUUACCAGCAGCCGCGAUCUCCCAAUCCGCGUGGCGGAUAUUACUACUACGCGGACUGAGUGAGCUACUCGUCGGGAUUCCUGAGCCUGCGCCACACCGCGCCGAGUACGUUGGAAUAGUCGUCGGUCCAGACCCGCUGGCCUUCGGUGGCUUCCGUCAGCACCCACUUCUCGUCCGACGCGAUCUUGCCGACGUCCGCCUCUUCAUGCGCCGAGA
rnacentral:misc_RNA from 1 species